rnacentral:tRNA from 2 species
GCCCGGAUGGCGAAAUCGGUAAACGCAGCGGACUUAAAAUCCGCCGACCGCAAGGUCCUGUCGGUUCGAGUCCGACUCCGGGCACCA